rnacentral:rRNA from 1 species
AGCUCCAAUAGCGUAUAUUAAAGUUGUUGCAGUUAAAAAGCUCGUAGUUGGAUCUCAGGCGCCGGCGGACGGUCCCUUUAACGAGGGCUACUGUCCGCUCCGGCCCUACCCGCCGGUGUGUCGAGGGUGCUCUUGACUGAGUGCCCCCGGCGGCCGGAACGUUUACUUUGAAAAAAUUAGAGUGUUCAAGGCAGGCGCUUCGCCUGAAUAAUGGUGCAUGGAAUAAUGGAACAGGACUACGGUCACUGCACUUUUUCCGUUGGUUUCGGAGGACCGAAGUAAUGAUUAAGAGGGACAGUUGGGGGCAUCCGUAUUUCGUAGUCAGAGGUGAAAUUCUUGGAUCUGCGAAAGACGAACGAGUGCGAAAGCAUUUGCCAAGAGUGUUUUCAUUAAUCAAGAA